ACAAGCGGUGGAUGAUGUGGUUAAUUCGAUGCAACGCGAAAACCUUACCACCUUGACAUGUAUGGAAGUUUCCAGAGAUGGAUUCGUGCUCGAAAGAGAGCCAUAACACAGGUGCUGCAUGGCUGUCGUCAGCUCGUGUCGUGAGAUGUUGGGUUAAGUCCCGCAACGAGCGCAACCCUUGUCAUUAGUUGCUACAUUUGGUUGGGCACUCUAAUGAGACUGCCGGUGACAAACCGGAGGAAGGUGGGGAUGACGUCAAGUCCUCAUGGCCCUUAUAGGUGGGGCUACACACGUCAUACAAUGGCCGGUACAAAGGGUCGCAAACCCGCGAGGGGGAGCCAAUCCAUCAAAGCCGGUCGUAGUCCGGAUCGCAGUCUGCAACUCGACUGCGUGAAGUCGGAAUCGCUAGUAAUCGUGGAUCAGCAUGUCACGGUGAAUACGUUCCCGGGUCUU
rnacentral:rRNA from 1 species